CCUACGGGGGGCAGCAGUGGGGAAUAUUGCGCAAUGGGCGAAAGCCUGACGCAGCGACGCCGCGUGAGGGAUGAAGGUCUUCGGAUCGUAAACCUCUGUCAGCAGGGAAGAACGGUCACUGUGCUAAUCAGCAGUGAAUUGACGGUACCUGCAAAGGAAGCACCGGCUAACUCCGUGCCAGCAGCCGCGGUAAUACGGAGGGUGCGAGCGUUAAUCGGAAUUACUGGGCGUAAAGCGCUCGUAGGCGGUAUGGCAAGUCAAGGGUGAAAUCCCCGCGCUCAACGUGGGAACUGCCUUUGAAACGGGCAAACUGGAGUGUGUGAGAGGAAAGUGGAAUUCCAGGUGUAGGAGUGAAAUGCGUAGAUACCUGGAGGAACAUCAGUGGCGAAGGCGACUAUCUGGCACAUAACUGACGCUGAGGAGCGAAAGCGUGGGUAGCAAACAGGAUUAGAUACCCCAGUAGUC
rnacentral:rRNA from 1 species